rnacentral:pre_miRNA from 1 species
GGGGGGAGCACAGGAUCUUGGGCUGUGUCCCCUGGGGCCCUGGGAUCGGGUCUGUGCCACUGGAAUCACGCUCCUGGGACCGCACAGCCCCCU